rnacentral:lncRNA from 1 species
GGAAAUCCAACCGAUGUAGUACGAACUAAUGUUCAAUUUCUGGGAUGGGUGGUAUUCCAGCAGGAUUAAUUUCUGAAAUUAAAUCUUCGGUACCCUGCAAAACAGAAUUAUCAAAAGUAGGGAGGGAAUUGUUAGUUAUCGCCAACGUCUCCUCAACUCCACUCUCCUUUCCAACACUUCUUUCACGUUCGAAGACUAUUUUUCAUUUUCAUCUCG